rnacentral:rRNA from 1 species
UUGGAGGGCAAGUCUGGUGCCAGCAGCCGCGGUAAUUCCAGCUCCAAUAGCGUGUAUUAAAGUUGUUGCAGUUAAAAAGCUCGUAGUUGAAUUUCAGGGUUUGUCUAUCGGUCGGGCUUCACUGUCCGCACUGAUUUGAUGGAUCCUUACCUUCUGAGUAGCCAUCAUGCCAUUAAUUUGGUGCGUUGGGGAAGCAGAGCUAUUACCUUGAAAAAAUUAGAGUGCUUAAAGCAGGCCAGUGCUUGAAUAGAUUAGCAUGGAAUAAUAAAAUAGGACGGCAUGGUUCUAUUUUGUUGGUUUCUAGGAUCACCGUAAUGAUUAAUAGGGAUAGUUGGGGGCAUUAGUAUUCAAUUGUCAGAGGUGAAACUCUUGGAUUUAUUGAAGACUAACUACUGCGAAAGCAUUUGCCAAGGAUGUUCUCAUUAAUCAAGAACGAAAGUUAGGGGAUCGAAGACGAUCAGAUACCGUCGUAGUCUUAACCACAAACUAUGCCGACUAGGGAUCGGACGAAGUUAAUUUUUAAAUGACUCGUUCGGCGCCUUACGGGAAAC